GCCCUGGUGGUGGAACUGGUAGACACGCAGGACUUAAAAUCCUGUGACCAUUGCGGUCGUGCGGGUUCAAGUCCCGCCCGGGGUACAA
rnacentral:tRNA from 1 species